rnacentral:rRNA from 1 species
UACGGAGGGUGCAAGCGUUAUCCGGAUUCACUGGGUUUAAAGGGUGCGUAGGUGGGCAGGUAAGUCAGUGGUGAAAUCUCCGGGCUUAACUCGGAAACUGCCGUUGAUACUAUCUGUCUUGAAUAUCGUGGAGGUUAGCGGAAUAUGUCAUGUAGCGGUGAAAUGCUUAGAUAUGACAUAGAACACCCAUGGCGAAGGCAGCUAACUACACGAUCAUUGACACUGAGGCACGAAAGCGUGGGGAGCAAACAGG